AGCCUUUUGAAUCCGUGCUAAAAUUUCGUCACACACCACAAAGGAUGGUGAGACUCCAAAGAUAAGUGAAGCA
rnacentral:pre_miRNA from 1 species